UACGUAGGGGGCAAGCGUUGUCCGGAAUCAUUGGGCGUAAAGCGCGUGUAGGCGGCCAGCUAAGUCCGUUCUGAAAGCCCGGGGCUCAACCCCGGGAGGCGGAUGGAUACUGUUUGGCUCGAGUCCGGAAGAGGCGAGUGGAAUUCCCGGUGUAGAGGUGAAAUUCGUAGAUAUCGGGAGGAACACCAGUGGCGAAGGCGGCGAUCUGGACAGAUAUUGACGCUGAUGUACGAAAGCGUGGGGAGCAAACAGG
rnacentral:rRNA from 1 species